rnacentral:rRNA from 1 species
GUGGCGAACGGGUGAGUAACACGUGGGUGAUCUGCCUUGCACUUCGGGAUGAGCUUGGGAAACUGGGUCUAAUACCGGAUAGGACAGCUGUUUAGUGUCAGUUGUGGAAAGUUUUUUCGGUGCAAGAUGAGCUCGCGGCCUAUCAGCUUGUUGGUGGGGUAAUGGCCUACCAAGGCGUCGACGGGUAGCCGGCCUGAGAGGGUGUACGGCCACAUUGGGACUGAGAUACGGCCCAGACUCCUACGGGAGGCGGCAGUGGGGAAUAUUGCACAAUGGGCGGAAGCCUGAUGCAGCGACGCCGCGUGGGGGAUGAAGGCCUUCGGGUUGUAAACUCCUUUCGACAGGGACGAAGCGUAAGUGACGGUACCUGUAUAAGAAGCACCGGCUAACUACGUGCCAGCAGCCGCGGUAAUACGUAGGGUGCGAGCGCUGUCCGGAAUUACUGGGCGUAAAGAGCUCGUAGGUGGUUUGUCGCGUCGUCUGUGAAAUUCCGGGGCUUAACUCCGGGCGUGCAGGCGAUACGGGCUGACUUGAGUGCUGUAGGGGAGACUGGAAUUCCUGGUGUAGCGGUGAAAUGCGCAGAUAUCAGGAGGAACACCGAUGGCGAAGGCAGGUCUCUGGGCAGUAACUGACACUGAGGAGCGAAAGCAUGGGUAGCGAACAGGAUUAGAUACCCUGGUAGUCCAUGCCGUAAACGGUGGGCGCUAGGUGUAGGGGGCUUCCACGUCUUCCGUGCCGUAGCUAACGCAUUAAGCGCCCCGCCUGGGGAGUACGGCCGCAAGGCUA